ACCACAAUAUACGCUUAACAGCAGCACCCAUGGGUCAACCCCUGUACGGGUGCACAAAAUUACUUUAAUUCACACGCUUCUACUAAAGUCUUUGAGGUUCAGUGUCUUGCCCAAGGACGCUUUGACGCAUGGGCGAGCAAGGCGGGAAUCGAACCUGUAAUCUUCAGAUCAAGAGUCGACUCCCCUACUGCUGCACCAUAGCCGCCUGUAUGGCUAUGACAAAUAACUUGCACGACAGUAGCUGUAACCCCACUAUGCCAUUCUCCACUUUUCUGUUCUCUUCAUCACAACGUUCCAUUUGGUAGGAGUACAAAUGUAUUCACCAAGCAAAUGACCUGAUAAUUGUAGUACUUAAAGGUUCCAUGAAGAACAGAUGGUGAAGUCUUUGGGCAAUGAGUUCCUGAAUAAUGAAGGGCGUACAGGAAGCUGGCAUCAAAAUGAAAAUAAGGGGAGUACAAAGUAGAAGAUAUGUAAAUGAACAACCUUACUUUGGAAUUGCUUUCAUGGUCUCUGAAAUUUGAUGCUCCUUUGUUGUCAGACAUUUGAAGAUGUGAAGCAAAUCUUAUUUAUGUUUACUCCUUGGCUCAUAUUACAAAUCAAACUGCUGUGCACAUGGAACCACUCAUUCAUUUGGGAAAGACCCCUUUUAAGUACAAAAAAGGCUACUUAAUCAGCUCGGCCCACACACUCAGUCCCUCAGGCUGAUAUUAUAGCUAACCUGUUUCAGUCAUUACUCCAGCUCACUCGACUUUCUGGUUAUUUGGAAAAAACAACGCUGUUCAACCACUACAUUUUUGAAACUUUUUGUUGUUGUGUCACUCCUGUUCUCUUUCAUUGAAUCAAAUCAAUUGUAUCAUCAAAAAUAAUCUGCUGCAAAUGGUAUUCUAGUAUGCGUGGGAUGUUCCUUAUGACAUGGCAGUGUAGCAGAGAACAACCCAGUGCCUUUGUGGACCAAUCAAAUGUCUGUCAGGAAGAGGCACUGAUACACAACUCAAGAUAAGCCUGUUGAUCACAAACAUGACUGUCAUUUCAACGGGACUUGGCCUUGAGACCCAUUCCAAUGAAAAAUUUGUUUUUAACAUGUAGCAUGAUGGAGGAGGACACAUAUAAAGAUAAUAGCGCUCAAAAUUGCGUUUCAGAGUAUUUCUUUGUUGUGAAUCAUGAGCAGACAAAAAAAAAAA